UUACAAAGCCCUACAACACCCCAUUUCUCCCAUUUCGUUUUUCCCAUGGACUCUGCCUUUCCACGAUUCCCCCAGCGCUUCAACUCUCACUCUUGUCUCUCUCCGCCUUCCACCGUUGACCACUGGCGCCUUAGCUCACUCUCGUCUCUCUUCGACUUCCACCGCCAACCAAUGGCGCCUCAACCCUCACUCACGUCUCUCUCUAUCUUCAGUUCUGGGAAUUUUUUCACAAGUUAUUACUGCUUUUAAUUGCAAGUCCAAUUUUAUCCAUACAACCCAAUCGAAACACCCUUUUCAUUCUCCGUUCACUUUGAGGUUUUAGCAUCCAAAAUUGCAUCGGUUCUACAAAAAGACCCUUCUCUUUCUCCUUCUGUGUUUCAUCAAGCGUGGCAGAUUCAUGCAUAGACUAUCGUAAAUGGACUCCAGAAAGUAGGCAUUCUGGGCACAAGAAUUUUGGUUUGUUGUGCUUUGUCGUAGAUAUUCUGACCCAAAUAGUGGAGCAUCCUCCUUCUCAAUACUCCUUGGAGAUGCCCCUCACCUUGAUGGCCAGUCUGCUAUAUUUAGUUAAGUUACAAAAGAUGAUGAAACUUUGAGGAAGCUUAAGCAACUCCCUAACUGGAAGGAAAGAAUCUUCGUAAUGCCAACUGAGCGCAUUACAAUAUUGUCGUCAUAUUAUUAUGAAUAUAUAUUAGGAAAGAAGAGAGGAAACGUAUGCGAUUUCACUUACAUUGUUGUCAGAUAUCAUUAGGGAUUAAUGUUAAUUUUCUGGGAAUUUCUUUAUGUUGAUAAGAACAUGAACACUGCUAUCUCAAAUGGUGUUCAAGGAGCUAAAAUUGAUUAUCAAGAACCGGCAGAUUCAGAGCUUACGAUGGAUAUUGUAACCAACCUUCAGAAGGGAGUUGAUAUUUUGUUGAAUAGCUAAAUUGUUGGUCAAAGAAGUAGACUUUGAUAUGGAUCUAAUAUUUUAUAACAUUUUGAUCAUUUUUUUUAUUUUUUUAUUUUUGAGAAGAGUUGAGAUGAAUUUUACAUUGAUAUAUUGUAUUAAACUGUACUCAAUAAUUAUGUUUAUCGAAUCUAUGCAAAAUCUGGUUAUAUAUAUGGAUUUCUGUUUUGUAAUUA